rnacentral:rRNA from 1 species
UACGUAGGGUGCGAGCGUUAAUCGGAAUUACUGGGCGUAAAGCGUGCGCAGGUGGUUUGUUAAGUCAGAUGUGAAAGCCCCGAGCUUAACUUGGGAACUGCGUUUGAGACUGGCAAGCUAGAGUCUGUCAGAGGGGGGUAGAAUUCCACGUGUAGCAGUGAAAUGCGUAGAGAUGUGGAGGAAUACCGAUGGCGAAGGCAGCCCCCUGGGCUAACACUGACGCUCAUGCACGAAAGCGUAGGGAGCAAACAGGAUUAGAUACCCUGGUAGUCCACGCCCUAAACGAUGUCAACUAGGUGUUGGGGAAGGAGACUUCUUUAGUACCGCAGCUAACGCGUGAAGUUGACCGCCUGGGGAGUACGGUCGCAAGAUUAAAACUCAAAGGAAUUGACGGGGACCCGCACAAGCGGUGGAUUAUGUGGAUUAAUUCGAUGCAACGCGAAAAACCUUACCUACCCUUGACAUGUCAGGAAGAUUCCAGAGAUGGGAUUGUGCCCGAAAGGGAACCUGAACACAGGUGCUGCAUGGCUGUCGUCAGCUCGUGUCGUGAGAUGUUGGGUUAAGUCCCGCAACGAGCGCAACCCUUAUCAUUAAUUGCCAUCAUUUAGUUGGGCACUUUAAUGAGACUGCCGGUGAUAAACCGGAGGAAGGUGGGGAUGACGUCAAGUCCUCAUGGCCCUUAUGGGUAGGGCUUCACACGUAAUACAAUGGUCGGUACAGAGGGUUGCCAACCCGCGAGGGGGAGCUAAUCUCAGAAAGCCGAUCGUAGUCCGGAUCGCAGUCUGCAACUCGACUGCGUGAAGUCGGAAUCGCUAGUAAUCGCGGAUCAGCAUGUCGCGGUGAAUACGUUCCCGGGUCU